CGGGGUUAUAGUUCAAGUAAACUUUGAAACAUGGAUCCUAACAAAACGGGCAAUGCGUCCUACCAGAGGAAUGCAGAUAUGGCCUCUGUCAUGGGAUUCUCUGGCUUUGGAAAGAAAGCCUGCAUUUUUCAGCUGGAUGGCAUCUUUGAGCAGACCCGAAGACCGCUGACGACACACAACUGACGACACACAACUAAUCUUCUCCUUUCCCCCUUCUGAUCUCGCCAUCACGGUUGA